rnacentral:lncRNA from 1 species
UAUUUUAAUCAAAUUCAUGAAAUCUGCUUUUCAGAUUCGUCUCAAAAAUUGAUUUGCAACAAUGCUUUGGAUCGAUUCAUGAAAUCGGUUGGUAUCCGGCCAUGAAAUUGAUUCAUGAAAUCUCCUGCGUCCUUCGAUUCUCACAAUUAAUUCACGUUCAUCCUCAAUAAUCAUCUCAAACAGGUAAACAACCCAUCACCCGUUUCUCAAUUCUGUACGAUUUCACUAUUUGUUCUUAAUUUCAACAAUAAUUAUAGGAAAUUUCAUGUCAGUCAUUGGACUUUAAAGCAAAUAGAGGAGGGGGGGCUUUAAUGGUUGCUUCACAGUACGAAGAAGAAACAGAAUCCAUUCACAGGUUCUGCAAAUGAAUUACGUCUUCCUUUCUGUGGGUGGAGGGGGAUAGUAGUAUUGAAUAUUGAUGAUAUUGGAUUGGUAUAUAAAUUAAUUGAGAUGAGCCUAAUUCUAAUCUUGAAUGAUUUUUGUUUGCUCGCUAAAUGACCUGUUAUUAAAAAAUCAAAUGUUUGUAAACUUUUUUAUUAAGUUAAAUUUUGGCAUGAGAGAGCACU